rnacentral:tRNA from 1 species
GAGUUUCUAGUUAAUAUAUAACAUUAUCUUGUCAAGAUAAAAUUACCCACAGGUGUAACUCU